ACAUACUCUUGUUGCUUUGGCAGGCCGUGGUCUCCCACUGUGGGCUCUGCCUGCAUGUGCCUGCCAGAGGACCAAACUCUGAAUUUUAGUGAUGUCUGAGUACUAUAUAAUAGUUAAAACUUUCAACAACGGAUCUCUUGGUUCUGGCAUCGAUGAAGAACGCAGCGAAAUGCGAUAAGUAAUGUGAAUUGCAGAAUUCAGUGAAUCAUCGAAUCUUUGAACGCACAUUGCACCCGGUGGUAUUCCGCCGGGUAUGCCUGUUCGAGCGUCAUUAUAACCACUCAAGCCUGUCUUGGUGUUGGGGUUGCGAAUCUUUGCAGCCCUCGAGUCCCGUAGCGCCACCUGUGGGUCCUAAGCGUAGUAAUUUCUCCUCGCUAUAGAGCCCGCUCGGGGAUAGGUAUAAUUCGUAGCCUAGUUCUAUGUGUCCCGCUAUAAAACCCCCAAUUUUUAAGGUUGACCUCGGAUCAA
rnacentral:rRNA from 1 species